rnacentral:sRNA from 1 species
GCACUAUGUAUUGAUCAUAAAGGCUCAAGAAAGACCAUUGAGUUCAAAGCAGUGAUGUUUGGAUAAGGCAGUAGAUGAGGUUAAGGGUUCCUGUGGUGGUUUAUUUGGAUCUGAACGUCUAUGACACUCUUUCGAGCUGACACAGUGAAGAACAUGGAAGGAGAACUCACCCAGUCUGCCAGGGUCACAGAUGAUCAUACUCAAGAUCUUCCUGGGGAGUCAAUGGCAAAUUUCACUGGG